CAGCCAUUCGGGACAGAAAUGGAGCGAGCAACAGUCCUAACAGGUGUGAGGACUGGUCGGAUACCAGAGUCCCUCAGUAAAAGGUGUCCAGUGCAAGCCAAGUAUAUCCAGCUCCUGACUGGGAGGAACGCGGCCCAGAGACCAUCUGCUCUUCAGCUACUGCAGAGCGAACUGUUCCAAACAACGGGAAAUGUAUGCAACGCUUCCUUUCAGUAGUCACUGCAUGCUUACUUUGGGUUGGGUAUGACCCUGUGAGUAAGUCAGUCCAUCUGGCCAUCCGUCCAACCAUCUAUCUAAUCUAUCCAGUCUUUCUAUCUACAGGGUCCCAUGCUCUAUAGCCCAGGCUGACCCUGAACUCAAAACAAUCCUCUCUGCCUCUUGAGUGCUGGGAUUGCAGACUUCAGCUGUCGAUUCCGAGAGCUUUUGAUAAGCUUGUCUUUCGGUCAGCUCACAACUCUGAGGUUAAUGUGCAUGCAGACGUCCCUUUCACAGAUGAGGAAGUAAAGAUUUAAGUUAAAUAAUC
rnacentral:lncRNA from 1 species